CUACACUCUAACCAUAGUGCUACCUGCUACUACUGCCUCUACACUCUAACCACUAGGCUACCCUGCCUCCUCUACACUCUAACCACUAGGCUACACUGCCACCCCACAAGGUGAAAAAAAAAACUAAAAGCAGAUUUUACCUAAACUGGGUGGUGACAUCCCAUAUAUUCGACAACACCAUAGAGUCAUAUAGACGACAUCACCAUAUAGUCGACAUCACCAUAGAGUCAUAUAGACGACAUCACCAUAGAGUCAUAUAGACGACAUCACCAUAGUCAUAUAGACGACAUCACCAUAGAGUCAUAUAGACGACAUCACCAUAGUCAAUAACCAGAAUGAAUGCUCAGAAUUCUUAAUUUGUGGGUCUCCAAAUUUCAUCCAUGCAAAUUGAAGACCCACAAAUGAAGAAUUCUGAAUAACGACCCAGGUUAUUUAUAUCUUACUGUGCGAUACAUUUCAUGUCGAUAUGACUUUCAGUUUGCUUCCAUUCAAGUAAAAGGUUUCUGUAGGGCUAAACCCUGCCAAAUUGUUGUAUGCAAAUUGCCGUAUGCAAAUUGCCGUAUGCAAAU
rnacentral:lncRNA from 1 species